AAACCCACCAGGUCAUGGGGUGCAUCGGACAGCCUAAUUCCCUUCCAAGACUUCUUCUGGCCCCCUGCUGGCCUCUCGCUUCACCCUAUCAAAGGCACCGCCAGAAAACCCGGCAUCUUCUCCAUUCGAUGGCCCUCGCCGCUGUCCGUCUCGACGACGCCGCUCUUCGCUGCACGUAUGUUUUUUCUUUCAAGCAUCCAUGCAGAACAGUGCCUGACGGACGACCCAUCCCGCACCGCAGCCUUUUCGACGCCGGACACACCCCCGCGACUGGCAUCACCCGUGACGAGGGCCGUCUUCUCUGCCCACCUCCUUCCCCUAUGGUGCCGAGGUCUGUCCGCUCCCAUGUGUUCGCUGAUGGGAGGCGGAAGGCUUCCGUGGAAGUCUCGGGCUCGCCCAAGACCACCGCGGUCAGGCGAUCCAUCCCCUGGGAGCGCGGAUGGGAGCAGCCCCGCGAGGCUGCGCGAUCAGGGAAAGGUUGCUCGGCUGGAGAUGGGCCGGACGGAGCUUAGGUGCGGGUGACAUGGAACGGAUGGUGGGAGCAUCGGAGGGAUUCACCUCCAAUGCCUCUCGGCAUGGCGGUGAUGCCCGCGAGGAGGAGGAUGGCUCUUUUGGCUUCAUGGAGUUUAUUGUGGGCUGAUGGCUCGUCUGACCAACAAAUUUCCAACUACUAUGAUUGCCUGUUGGAUAUAUAUUUCAAUCUGAAGAUGACUUUGUGCUCAGCCAUCUCUCCAGGUUUGGGCUACACCACCUAGAACAAAUUUUGCUGGAUUUGCAGAGCAUGGUACUACAUAUUCCUACAGUUUAGUGUGGAUUUACCUGACCAAUCAGAAUCUCAACUUGCUAUUUUAUUCUUACAAGAGCUAAUUAAAGAUUGCCAUUUUUCUUGCUUAUCAAUUCAUUGCUUUGAAUAUCUUUGUCCAGUACUAUGCAGAUGAAGAAUAGAAACUGGUAUUUUCGCCAUGCCAGGGAUUCCUUAGACAUGCUUUGUAUGGAAAGCUUAAGGAAACUGAUAUAGCUGUGAAGGGCGACGAAGGAAAAGGCUUCCUUUUCUAGGACCAAGUUACAAAUGAGGGAAUCCUAUUCCGAAGUAUGCAGAGGACCUUAGAUGGUGUUGAAAUGGCACUCAUGUAUCAGUGUGGAUAGUUUAGAGAAUUCAUUUAAUUCAAACUCUCUUUUCUUUAAUAUUCUAGAUUUGCCAAGAGUUUUUGCAUACAAGUUAUGCACAGGCAGAUGAAUGGGUUUCAACCAUGUCAAGCUGCCACCCUUUUUCAUCUGGGCAUGGUACCGGCAUCAGUGGCAGAAGUACCAAUAUAUGUUUUGGCUUCGUUUGUAAAUAUUGAUGAUGUAUACUAUGUACAACUCUGAAAGUCAAUGUCUUUACGAGAGAAUAAGAAAUAAAAAUCAAGCAUCAAAUCGAGUACUAACAGAUAGGUAUCCUCCAGCCUGCUAAACAAGCAGUUCUCUGGUAGUGAACAUGAUUUCUAUCAAUGAAGACUUGGCAGAUUAGAUUGUAUUCACUGGAUGAGGUUUAAAAUUGGGGUUUGAUCCCAAGUUCCCAACUAUCGACCCCAAAUUGUGCUGGCCUAGGACUUGGAUCUGCACUCUAAAACCAUCUUAAGCAAAGGACAGUGCUUGAAUGAGGCUGGGAAGCUGGGAUCUUAGGCAUGGAUGGUACGGAACAGAUGUGUAUGGCAUCUAAAAGAUCCACUCCAGUGGUUCUGAGCACGUUGAUGGCCACAAGGGGCAUGGUGGACACUCUUGGCUUCAUAGGGUUUAUCACAGGGCAGAUAGCUCAGUUAGAUAACCUAUCUUAGCCCUCAACCAUCACCUUUUAUGGGAUUGAACUCUGUUUGUUGCCUUUACACUAUGUAUUGGAACUCUCGUGUAAGAGCCUGAAUUCGAUAUCUUAACCCUCCAUAGCUUUUUAUAGGAUUGAACUUAACUUGUUGGUUAUAUACAUUUAUGAAUUGGAACAUUCGCGAUAGCACUUGAAUUCAGCGUUUCAUUUAUAUGCUCUGCAUGAUUUAGAAAGUUUCUGAAGAUACUAGAAUUCUUUAGUUUAGUCAUAGGUAAAUAGUGUUUAUUCUAGACAGAUCUAGAAAUUACUGUGAAUAAGUUAAAACGAUUCCUAGCAAAAAAAAAAAAAAGUUAAAACAAUGGAAAUUGUAUGUGUGCAUGUGCAUUCAUUGGAUAGAUUUGGUACGGUAUAAGUAAAUAUGAGUUGAUUGAUUUUUUCAUCUGAUUAUUAAGGCAUUAGUUGUCAUUUGAAUGCAUAUGUGGAAGUUUUAAUUAUUUGAAGAUAUCUCAACCAAAAAUGGUCGAACUACUUAACAGGUAGCAAUAAGGUAUGUAUCUAGUUAUCCCCAAAAGAAGUGGCAUCUCAAGGGUGCCUUUUUGAGUCUAGAAAAAAAA